CUCCGCUCGCGCUGCGUCCUUCUUUUCCUACUGAGAGGUCUGUAGGCUCACCGGGCUGCCUUCUCGGGUUUUGAGCCCUCACCUGUAGUCCUUCCGGGUGGGCCGGAGCCUCAGGGACCCGCCAGAGCCAGUGCACACCCUCCUGCUUGUAUUGGUCAGCGAACCCUGCUUUCCCUCCCUCGGGACUCUUGGAGGAUCUCUGCUAGCCAAUGCUGGCUUUUCCUCUACUUAAGUUUUAUGCAGCCCUUUGAUUGUUGGUACUACACAUACUUAAGAUGCAGCUUGAUUAUUAAUAUUAACAUUCGUGGCCCCACUAGAAGUCAGAAAGAACACAAAAAAAAUACUCUAUAAAAUGAGGAAUAUGUCUCCUUUACAUUUCUAUGAUUAAUGAUGUCGUAUUUGGGAUCAUGUUGUGAAUUCAAUAAUUCAAGCAAAGGCAAAACAUGCAAUGAAUAAAAUAUUGAGAAAACCCCAAAGCCUAGGGGCUACCAAUUCAUCAAUCUGGAAGAAGAAUCAUACAAUUUUAUAAAUGAAUCAUCUAGUCCUUAAGACCACCUGAAGUCUAAUUUUUUUUCAUUUUGCUGAUUAAGAUCUGAAGUCCAGAGAGGACAGAAGAAGACAAAAGCUUUGGAGUCUAUCCUGGCUCUGGAGACCAGGCUGGCCUCAAACUCACAGAGAUCCGCCUGCCUCUGCCUCCCGAG
rnacentral:lncRNA from 1 species